AGCUCCAAUAGCGUAUAUUAAAGUUGUUGCAGUUAAAAAGCUCGUAGUUGGAUUUCGGGAGGGGUCGGCCGGUCCGCCACAAGGUGUGCUACUGGUCGGCCCGUCCUUCCUGGCGCAGACUUCGUGUGUGGCGCAGACUUCGUGUGCUCUUCACUGAGUGUGCGGAGGAUUCGCCACGUUUACUUUGAAAAAAUUAGAGUGUUCAAAGCAGGCUCACCGGCUUGGAUACAUAAGCAUGGAAUAAUGGAAUAGGACUCUGGUUCUAUUUUGUUGGAUUCUGGACCCGGAGUAAUGAUUAAGAGGGACAGUUGGGGGCAUUCGUAUUUCGUUGUCAGAGGUGAAAUUCUUGGAUUUACGAAAGACGAACUACUGCGAAAGCAUUUGCCAAGAAUGUUUUCA
rnacentral:rRNA from 1 species